UACGUAGGGGGCAAGCGUUGUUCGGAUUCACUGGGCGUAAAGGGUGCGUAGGCGGUCGGGUAAGUCUGAUGUGAAAUCUCACAGCUUAACUGUGAAACUGCAUUGGAUACUAUCCGGCUCGAGGAAUGGAGGGGAGACUGGAAUACUUGGUGUAGCAGUGAAAUGCGUAGAUAUCAAGUGGAACACCAGUGGCGACGGCGAGUCUCUGGACAUUUCCUGACGCUGAGGCACGAAAGCCAGGGGAUCAAACGGG
rnacentral:rRNA from 1 species